rnacentral:tRNA from 3 species
GGCAUCAUAGCCAAGCGGUAAGGCAGAGGCCUGCAAAGCCUUCAUCCCCGGUUCGAUUCCGGGUGAUGCCUCCA